rnacentral:tRNA from 1 species
GCCGGUGUGGCGGAAUUGGUAGACGCGCACGACUCAAAAUCGUGUUCCCUCGGGAGUAUCGGUUCGACUCCGAUCACCGGUA